rnacentral:rRNA from 1 species
GUCUCUUUGAAAAAAAAAAUAUAGAGAGUCGGACCUGCUCAGUGAUAUAUAAAUAAAUAGAAAUAUAUUAAAUAGCUGCAGUAUAAUAACUGUACUAAGGUAGCAUAAUAAUUUGCCUUAUAAAUUGAGGCUAGAAUGAAUGGUUURCCGAAAGUUGAUCUGUCUCUUAUUAAUUUUUUAGAAAUUAAUUUUUAUAGUGAGAAGCUUAAAUUAUUUAGAGGGACAGAGAAGCCCUAUUGAGCUUUAUACUUUUAAUAUAAAAAAAAAUUAAUUUUAUUAAAAAAAUGAUUUUGAUUGGGGUGAUCAAGGAAUAAAAUGAAAUUAUAAAAAUAACUUCCUUAUACAAAAUAUCAUUGAUAAAUUAAUUAACCAAAUUAUUGCUAACAAGAAUAAGUUACCAUAGGGAUAACAGGGGUAAUUUUUUUAGAGAGUUCUUAUUAAUAAAAGAGAUUGCGACCUCGAUGUUGGAUUAAAAUAACCUUAAGGUGAAGAGGCUUUAUUAGGUAAAUCUGUUCGAUUUUUAAUAUUUUAC